GAUGAACGCUGGCGGCGUGCCUAAUACAUGCAAGUCGAGCGAACAGACGAGGAGCUUGCUCCUCUGACGUUAGCGGCGGACGGGUGAGUAACACGUGGAUAACCUACCUAUAAGACUGGGAUAACUUCGGGAAACCGGAGCUAAUACCGGAUAAUAUAUUGAACCGCAUGGUUCAAUAGUGAAAGACGGUUUUGCUGUCACUUAUAGAUGGAUCCGCGCCGCAUUAGCUAGUUGGUAAGGUAACGGCUUACCAAGGCAACGAUGCGUAGCCGACCUGAGAGGGUGAUCGGCAACACUGGAACUGAGACACGGUCCAGACUCCUACGGGAGGCAGCAGUAGGGAAUCUUCCGCAAUGGGCGAAAGCCUGACGGAGCAACGCGGCGUGAGUGAUGAAGGUCUUCGGAUCGUAAAACUCUGUUAUUAGGGAAGAACAAAUGUGUAAGUAACUAUGCACGUCUUGACGGUACCUAAUCAGAAAGCCACGGCUAACUACGU
rnacentral:rRNA from 1 species